rnacentral:rRNA from 1 species
GACAGCAGCCGCCGCGGUAAUACGGAGGGUGCAAGCGUUAAUCGGAAUUACUGGGCGUAAAGCGCACGCAGGCGGUUUGUUAAGUCAGAUGUGAAAUCCCCGAGCUUAACUUGGGAACUGCAUUUGAAACUGGCAAGCUAGAGUCUUGUAGAGGGGGGUAGAAUUCCAGGUGUAGCGGUGAAAUGCGUAGAGAUCUGGAGGAAUACCGGUGGCGAAGGCGGCCCCCUGGACAAAGACUGACGCUCAGGUGCGAAAGCGUGGGGAGCAAACAGGAUUAGAUACCCCUGUAGUCCCUGUCUCUUAUAC